GACGAACGCUGGCGGCGUGCCUAAUACAUGCAAGUGGGACGCAGUUGCGAACGGGUGAGUAACGCGUAGGUAACUACCUAUUAUAGGGGGGUAACUAUUGGAAACGAUCGCUAAUACCGCAACUAGUAGAUUGACUUGCGUUGUAUUUGCUUGUAGGUAAGGUAAUGGCCUCCCUAGGCAACGAUACAUAGCCGACACGGGAGGGUGGUCGGCCACACUGGGACCGGGGAACGGCCCCGAAUCCUAACGGAGGGAGCAGUAAGGGAACUUUGGCAAUUGGGGGAAACCUGAACGGGCAAAGGCGCGUGAGUGGAGAAAGUUUUCGGGACGGAAAGCUCUGUUGUUAAGGGAGCGGUACUUAACCAGAAAGGGACGGCUAACUACGUGCCAGCAGCCGCGGUAAUAC
rnacentral:rRNA from 1 species